rnacentral:rRNA from 1 species
GACAGAGGGUGCAAACGUUGUUCGGAAUUACUGGGCGUAAAGCGCACGUAGGCGGCUUUGUAAGUUAGAGGUGAAAGCCUGGAGCUCAACUCCAGAAUUGCCUUUAAGACUGCAUCGCUUGAAUCCAGGAGAGGUGAGUGGAAUUCCGAGUGUAGAGGUGAAAUUCGUAGAUAUUCGGAAGAACACCAGUGGCGAAGGCGGCUCACUGGACUGGUAUUGACGCUGAGGUGCGAAAGCGUGGGGAGCGAGCAGG